CCUACGGGAGGCAGCAGUCGAGAAUCAUUCACAAUGGGGGAAACCCUGAUGGUGCGACGCCGCGUGGGGGAAUGAAGGUCUUCGGAUUGUAAACCCCUGUCAUGUGGGAGCAAAUUAAAAAGAUAGUACCACAAGAGGAAGAGACGGCUAACUCUGUGCCAGCAGCCGCGGUAAUACAGAGGUCUCAAGCGUUGUUCGGAAUCACUGGGCGUAAAGCGUGCGUAGGCUGUUUCGUAAGUCGUGUGUGAAAGGCGCGGGCUCAACCCGCGGACGGCACAUGAUACUGCGAGACUAGAGUAAUGGAGGGGGAAGCGGAAUUCGCGGUGUAGCAGUGAAAUGCGUAGAUAUCGAGAAGAACACU
rnacentral:rRNA from 1 species